ACGCUCGACACCUACGGGAGGCAGCAGUCGGGAAUAUUGCGCAAUGGAGGAAACUCUGACGCAGUGACGCCGCGUAUAGGAAGAAGGUUUUCGGAUUGUAAACUAUUGUCGUUAGGGAAGAAAAAAGACAGUACCUAAGGAGGAAGCUCCGGCUAACUACGUGCCGGCAGCCGAGGUAAUCUGAGCGGGCUGGCAAGGC
rnacentral:rRNA from 1 species